AUGCGUGGUAGUGAACAAAAAGGAAUUACUUAGCACUGAAUGUGGCUUCAGGGGCUGCAUUCAUCUUUGUAGAUUGUAUGAACUAGACAGGUGUAGUUCUCUCAUGGUAUUUGUUGAUUGAAGAGGCAGACUGAUAGUCAUCAGAGGUGAGAAGACUGUUAGUAACAAAAUAUUUUGUUUUUUUUUCUUCUCUUUCUGCUUAAUACCCUCUGUAACCCAUUGUUGCUUCUAUCUUUGUGAAGUUUGCCUUCUUUCCUGGUCUCGUUCCCAUGAUUCUUCUGGAAGUCUUUUUCAUCACUGCAUACCGGGCUUCUCUGGCUACAUGCCUGCCCUGUCAUGUUCAGCAGAUGUCUUACCUCAGUGCAGGUGUGGCUUUGUAAAGGCCAAGUUUUGGACCUUGAAUAUAAUCCAUUCUGUCUUUCCUUCCUAUUAACUAAUUAAGUGCUUUUUUUCCACUGCCUGCUAGGUAGCUGAUGUGUUUCUGACCGGCAUACAGUAAGUUGGUCCUUGGAUGAAGAAGUGUGUCUCAUUUAAACCGGACCACGUCCAGGAUCUCUUAUGAUAAUCACUGUUGUACUGACAUGAAAGAUGGGGGAGUUGGUGAUGCUGCUGUGAAGCAGCCAUCAGGACGUUGUUCUGUAGUGUCAGAAAGGCAAGUCACCUUGUUCAUCAAAUGAACAAGAAGGGAAUAAGACAGGAAAGAGAGUGGUUAGGAAGCCAUGAAGAAGUACCUAUCAGCCAGUUUGCUUGUUGGGCUUUGUGCUCAUUCCAGCUGUGCUUUUGCCAUCCCUCUGCUCCUUCCAGGAGUGGAUGCUCUUGCUCAUCCUAUUUUAAGCACCUGCUUGUGCACAAAACCCUGCUGCCUGCACGCAGUGUGGUUUGGACAGUUGCAGGUGCUUGUCUGAGUGGGUGAUGCUGUGCUCUAUAGAGAGCAUAUUUUCUGUUUUGUCUGACAUCAAGAAAUACAGCUUUUCUGCAGUCAUCUCCUAAAAGGAAUCCACUUUUCUCAUCAGAAAUCUAUGCAAAAUGUGUGCUUGCCCUCUGACUGCACGAUACCUGCUGUGACCGUGGCUGAGGAGGAAGGGCAGCUGCCUCAGGUGCUUCGUUAAUCCUGCUUUUGUGCACAGCUUUGUUCCGUGGUCCCGAUCUACCCAUCGUGACUUGCAGGUAAAUACAGUAUUAGAGACUCAAUUUAAUUCCCGUGUUCUAAAACAUCCCUGCAGGUCUGGCAGACUCAGAAUUUUUGUAAAGAGUUUUUUUCACUCAGACUUUCCUAUUAUCUGAGUAAUUUGUGGGUGGAUAAAAACAUACUGGGAAACAUCUGCUACCACAGUAACUGUGCAUCAGAAAGGGAGAGGAGCUCUUAGUUAUUCCUUGUGCUCUGUUGUGCUUCUUGUGAUGAAGUCUGACUGAUUCUUACAGCUCUCAGCUGAAGGUGAGACUUGCACUGUGUGCAGUGAAACUCAACAGCUCCGACCUGGAUGUCGGAGAGCCCUUAUGCUGCAUCCUGUGCUCUGGCCCCUUCUCAGCUGAUUCACUCUGAGACGUGUUAGUUUUGCUGUGUGGAACUGCAGAGGGGGAAGGCUGGCCUUACAAUACGUGCACCAAAGCAGCUUGUCCUGAUGACAGGUCUGUGCCUCAGUUGCAGUUCUCCCAUUUGUGCAGUUUUAUAUUGCUGCGUUUGAUCUUUGCGACAGCACAGUCUGUGCUGAUGCUCCAGACUGUGGUGCAAACUCCUCUGGCAGCCUGCUGUUACAAAUAACCACUGGCCUAAAAGGCCAUAGGGGUUUUGAUCAACUAAGACUGGGACAGAAGCAAUCUCAUAUGGAGGUGAUCCUCUCCAUUGCUUUCACCUUUCAAAGAACAGGAAGAGAAGAGAGGAACCUGAGGGCAGCUGAGAAACUGAGAGAGAAAUGCAGCAAACAGACUGCAAUUCUGCAUCUCAAGCGCACAGUGAUGAACACGUAAUGGAAAGGACAUGUUCCUCAGCACAGUUAAUUAUGUUGCCUUCUCAACAGUGAAUUCCCUUGCUCACCAUGUCAAGAAAUGCCUCAUUCAAGAAAAUAAUUAAGUAAGCACUCUCAGCAGUGGAGGUUUAAUGUCUGGACUGUAUCUUGUAAUAUUUUUGACACUACUCAGCAAUCAAUUCAGUGAGCUCGUGUCUCAAGGGGCUAUUCAUUUGUUAAUAAACUUAGGUUGCAUUCCAGCUGCAACCUCACAGAGGGAUAUUUUAUCCAGGUAAGAAAUGGCUUGUUCAUUUUUAAUGUGAGUGACUUGUGUGUCUUUUUGCUUCCAAGUCAAUGACUUGACACAUGGGAGAUAUUUCACUAUCAGCAGGAGAUGCAGCCGGCUUGGCCUUGUGUUGUACAGCUGGCAGCUGUGUGACCUUCUGUCUGAUCAGAAUGGGUUUUCCUUCCGGGGGCAAAAGCAGUAUCCUGUUUUUGAAAUGUAGUUAGCAGUUCUCUUCAAGCAUGUAUAAGAAUACUGAGAUCUGUUUGUUCAUCUGAGCACCACAGAACUUGGGAUGGAGAACUGAGAGAAUGCAGUGAUGAGGGUCCUUUGAAUUUUGAAUUUGGGAAAACGCUGUGGAUAUCUAUGAAGAACUCUGGCACAGCAAUGUUGUUAAAUUGUGCUGCAUUUAUCAAUAACAUUCACCAGUAUUUGAGUCCUCGGUCGUUCCUAUUUCAUAUUUGUGAUGUUUGUGUACAGAAGCCACAAGAUAUCUUGCAAGAGCUAGUUGUUUUGCAGUAGUUUUGCAUUUUUCAGUGUUUAACUGCUCAUCUCUCGUGCAAAUAGUUUGUCAAAUAUGAGAGGCUGUUUUUCAGUCUUUCUCUUGCAAACUCACAAUCCUGAUCACCACUUUAAUGAUUGUAAAGAGUGAGCUGCAAAGCUGUGGAGUCCGCAGAGUUUCCAAAGAAGGAUGCUGUGAACCCAGCAAUGAACAUGUAGGAUUGUUCAUGGAUAUGGCACAGAUACAAAACAAGCCGAGUAUAUUUUUGCCUUUGUCAUAUUUUUACUAUUUGCUGUUAGAAGGAUAUUCUAAUGAACAUGAAGUCUACAAAAUACUUACUUAGGUGUCAUCAACCCCUUUAACCAAGAAGAUGACAAAAUGCUCUACACACCCUGAGGCAUGCCUUCGAUCUUGAAUCUCCUGCCACGUAGCACUGGUGCAGUGAGAUGUGCACUGGAGUGCAGGCAAACAUGGGGGGAUGGUCUGAGGCUGAGUGCUGGAAUGAGUCAAAGCUGCUAGAAGAAAAUUAGGGUGUACUGGAAUGUAUUUUCUAAUGUCAAAAGUCCCAUCUUCUCUGUGCCCCGGCCCAAGCCUGCUCUGUCUCCACGGCGUGCAUCUGUACUUGUUUCCUUUGGAGCUGAAAGCAUGUUCUUCUAUCACUGAUGCUGCAGUUGAGUCUUCUUACAGGGAGAACCAGUAUGCCAUAGUUCAGCAUUAUCUGCAUUAAACUCAUGCAAGUUCUCUCAUCCUUUUAAUUUCAGAUUUAUGCUAAAUUACAUGCAGCUUUACGGGGUAACUGCCUUCCAGAGCGUGUCAGCUGAAGAAUUGAAGGUGAAAGAUGAGAGCAUUAGCGCACAUCACUUUCUGUUUGCAGUGGUCUUCAAACAGAUGUUUGAAUAGAAAUGUUGGAUUGGGAUCUGUAUGGGAACCGUUGAAUCACGGCCUGAACCUCUGAUUGACCACCUGAGGCAAGCGCUGAGUCAGCCACAGGAGCACAGGUGAAUGCAACUUCACCUGAGUGACCAGAAGGGGUGGGGCCUGGCUGCACCCCUCCUAGACCCCAUUUAAGGGCUGACUCCCAAGAAGGAAGGAUCCCUAUCUGGAGAUCACCCCUCUUGGAGCCCUUCUGUGAGCCCAGGAUGGAUCCAAUGCUGUUUUAUGUCUGCAUAUUCUACUGGAUGAAAUGGAUAUGACAUGAAAUGAAUAUGAGAGAAGGAAUACCUGAAGAAAGGAGCUAGCAAAGAAUGGAGCACCAGGAUUUCUUAGCUGUGUGAAGUUUGACUGUGAACUCGUGCUGUACUUUCUGUGAGCAGUAACUCCUGAAUGUGAACGCAUAAGAAGUGCCUGCAGAGCACUGCAGCCCUGCUUCAAUGAUGGGAUGGAGUAACUGUGAUCUGGAGGAGCUCAGCUGUCAUUUCAGGUAAAUAACAAUUCUGCAAGUUUGUGGUUUUGACUUCUCACCUCAGCGGUUUGGAUCAGUGAUUGAGGACGUGGACCCAGGAAUUUGAAGAUGAGCUUCACUUUUAAUGUCUUCAUUUGGACACCAAGCAAAUCCCUAACUAAUUGAGGCUGAAAUGCCUUAGGAUGAUAUUUGCUGUUCUUUAUUUAAAUUCAGAGGGUUUAUCACCACACAGACAUUUCAGUUGCUUAUUCUAGGAAACUCAUGGAAACGUGCUUUGUUAAAUAAUGUAUUUUCUAUUUUUUUUUCCCUUCCUUGUGUUACAAAAUGAAUGUAAAAGCUUUAAAACCCAGCAUUCACCACUCUGCAGUAGAUCUAAUAGAGUGGCAUUAUAUGAAGAGAUGCCAUGGUAACUGAAGUUGCCAAGACAGUCAGUGUCAAGCUUUUUAAUGGUGACUGCUAUACUAUAUUUGGCUUUGAUUACCACAAUCUGAAUAGCAAAUGGAAAGUGUUCACCGGUCUCAUUUGCUACCACCUACAGUCCAGAAGUAACGAGAUGACAGAAUUCAGUGUUGCACUGACUGCCAACCACUGGCCAUCAGGAUUGUUCUUUGCAGCACUCCCCUCUCCCACUGGAUCUCAUGGCAUCCUUAUCACAGCCUUACCAUUUGUGCUAUCCAGUUGGUGAUAUGCCACUUGUCUUAAUGAAAUUUGGCACCUGAAGCCAGUAGAGGAGUCUGCACUUUGUGAGCUGGCAAAAAAUCAGCAAAGUCAUUUCCACAGGAAACUGUUCUUUAAAUCUGUAAGUGGUGCGAAAGCAGAAUAAAGCAGAAACAUACACUGUUUUUUUCUCAUAAAUGGGUUAGGUGUACCUUACCUCCCUUGCUGUAAAGCUUUGUAGAUCCUGUUAUCAUCAGUUUUCACAAAAAUGAUGCUUUCUUCUGUCUCCAUAAUUUUGGUUUAUUUUUUAAAUGCCAGAAUAGAAAGCGAGGUCCCAUCGCCAAGGUGCCAUUUUAUCAUUUUGCUCACUCUAAUACAAAUGAUUUACCUAUACACUGAAGUAUUACCGUAAGUUAUAAUGAAGCUCCUUGCUAAAACGUGCAGCAGCAGUUCCAAAACGUUACUCAUUACCUUUAAAUCCAGAACUAAACUUUCUGCCAGUAGUAAUAGCCUCAUGCUGUUAAAAAGGACUGUUUUUAACAUGCUGUUAAAGGACUGCUUUACUUAAAAGGAAGCAGUCACAGAGCAGACUAUGAAAUGCUUCUUGAAUGAGAUGAACAGUCCUGGCCAUAACAGUUGUAGACUAUUGGGAAACUCAAUAGGCAGCUAACAGGAACAACUUGGGUAGGAAGAGCUUGAGGGUGAGUGCAGCUCAGCUCAGAACAGCCUUCUGUCAUUCUCUCUUGCAGUUAGGCAGACAUAAACAAAGAAGCAUGAUGGGAAGAAACUGAUAUCUUGGAGGGAAGGGAAAGACUAAAUAAAGAGUAGGGAAAAAGCUUUAACAAUGUGAUUCUUUAGAUAGAAAGCUAGUCUCAAAAGACCUAUCCCUUGACACAUGAAAAAUUGAUUGGAGAAAGCAGUAGCAAAUAGUUUUCCAGGAAGAAUGUUGUAUUGGCAGGAGGAUGGAUAAGAUGAUCACAGUUCAUUUACUUAAGUUAUAUCCAACAGCAUUAUGAAGUAGGAGAAUAUAUGGGUGAUUUCAUGUGGUUUUGGAUCGUGUGGAUUUUGAACAAACCAGUCAGGAGGUAGCAGCAUUGCUUUGGAGAUCAGCAAAUGAAGAAAAACAGCUUCAGUUGAAAGGGAACAGAUUUGACAGGAAAAAUUCAUAUUUGUUAAAGAUUGGUUUAGAAUACUGACAUCAAAUCUCACUGUCAGUGGAUAUUUUCUUCAACGGCUGUAUCUCUACUGCUAAAAUGCAACACAACAAAUUCAGAUUCAUUCCUAAGAUCAAUUUGUUCAAGUCAACAAAAUUUUUGUCACACCACUGUUAAACCUGAGAUGCCUCAAAUAAAGAGUAUAACUUGGCUUGAAAACAGCACGAAGGAUGAAUGUAAUCCAUGCCAUCGAGAAAAUAGCCAAUGUUAAACUAGAUGAGUUUGACACCAAUUCAAAAGGCAUCUUCUUGUGUCCUACAUUCUAGUAAUUUUGUUGACUAAAUUAUGUGUUUAAAUUUAUACGGCAAACUCAGGCCAGCAUUUGGGUUCCUGUGAUUAUUCAUUUGUAAGGCUGUGAAUGCUUAUUAAUGGCUCCUGGCUUUAGAAUGAGCGUUUAUGCUUCCAAAGCACUGCACAUGACUAAUUUGUUCUUCUGCUUAUUCGAAAGCAGCAGGGGUUGUCAAGAAGCCAAAUCUACACUGAAUUAAAACCACGUUGCUUUGCUUCCAUAGAAGAGGUAAUACUUGGCUGUUGUAAAAAAGUCACACUUCAAUUGAGCAUCAGUUCAUCACUGAAACUACAAAGUGGAGCAGUCGCAGAGGUAAGGUGAUGGUAAAUGCAAUGUGACGUUUCUCCUGGGCCAUACUGCAGAGAAACCUUACCUUUGUGUGGUGCAGCUGAUGUUGUGUACUUCCCAGAAAAAACAAAAGAGCUGUAAGGUUGCAGCAGAACGCCAUGUCAAGGGAACCCAGAGUCUAAUUAAUCUCAGAGAAGUAUAAAGCCAUAACGAGUACCCACUUCAUUUUGUUUGAGUUGGUUUCUGUCCAGGUUAAUGUGAAACAGAGUGACCUGGUUGUAUGUAUGGGCCUGAAUGCGUUCCCAUGUUCUGCUAUAUAUUCCCACUACUAAGAUUCAGUCUAACCUCCAGCGUUUGGCAACCCUUAUGGUCUUCUGCCAGUUCUUCAGUCUUCAGAGGAGGUUUGAAGCUUCUCGAUAACGAUUUCACAUAGCAGUUGUGGAUCCUAAUGGUAAAUAUUUUUGGUUGGCGUUCCCUGAGGCUGCCAGUUAGCAGCUAACAGUGACACUCGACUGGUUUCUGUGCAGUGGAACUGUGCAGUUAGAUUAAAUCUCACUGAGUUAUUGCAAGGAGUUACACUGUGGCUAAAUGUUUGUACCACUGCAACCUGUAGUUUUCAAUAUAAUUCUCUGCAGCCUGGCAAGUGCAUUAAUGGUUUUACAUAGUGCGAGGAACAAAAGGUUGCUUAGAUGCAGCGCAGCUGCUGAAGGUGGUUAUAAAAAGGCCCAUUUAACAUUCAUAGAUUCAGGGAAAGAAAACAGGAUAACCCUGCUGCUGGUUGUAGGGGUGAGUGUGAGCAGCUGCUUCAUGCGAUGCACAGCUGUGCCAGCGAUGUGCUGCAGAAGCGAUGAAUUAAGCUGUAAAGUGCAAGUCUCUGUGUACAACGUCCCGUUUUUGGAUAGCCCUGGAAAGUAAUGUAGAAGCUGUACAUGAGUGCCUCAAGUCUCUUUGCUUGCCUGUGCAGCAAUUAAUUUCAUACCUAUGCUAUGAAACCCCUGGAACAUCCCGUGUAGUGCGCAAACCAAGCGCUGUGCACAAACCUCCCAGCUAGACCAGAGGAAUUUAUAUCCCCUUCACUGACACACACAGACUGCUGGGUUGGUGCAAUGCUCUGAUGUGUUGGAUAAUAUGUGCAGGUCGUUGAACUUCAGUAGUACUGGAACAUGUGGAACAAACACUCUUGAAAUGAAGAAACUCCCAGCUUUGGGGCUGUGGCUGCAACCCUCCAAGGUGCUAGAUGUGUGAAAUGUGUUCUUCAGCACUGUACCUGAACAAAAAUCCUUCUGUCACUCCCUAGAAUUGCUAAAAAUGCUAGUUGUGUUUUAUAGAUAAAUGAUUGAUUGUGAGUUGUUGGCAUCAGCAACACUGCAGGCAUCACCGCCAUGCAGAGCUUUGUCUGAUUCCUGCCUGGCCAGCAAUGGUAAAUAGGUGCAGGGCUGGAGGAGCUCCAGGUGUCACUGUUAGGACAGCACCUGGGUAACUGGAGGGGCUUGUUUGUCACUGCUGAGGGAUUUCUGUGACCAAGACUCAACAGCUGCAUGCAGGGCAGCUCUGGCUGAAUCACACAGCUUCAGGUGUGGGAAGCAGCACUGCUUUAUGGAGGCUGCCUUUUUACUUUGGAGGUUUCUUAGCUGUUACAUAGUUGGUCACUGAUAACUUUGGCACAUUUUUGGUGGAGUAAUCUUGCCAGCAGCUUGAUACAUAGCUACAGAAAACAAAACAAAAGCAUCCUCACUUUCCUCAUUCCUUCCCCUCAAAUGAAGUAAUUUGAAAAGUGCAGAGCUCUGUUAAAAAGCAGAAUCAUCUGGGAAAGGAAAUUUGUCCUGACAGAGAUGGCAGGGGUUUGCUAAGCAGCAAGGCUGUGUGACUCCAUCCUCGUGGAACUGCUCCAGCACUGACCAGACGCACUCCUUCCAGGUCAGGACAGUGGGAGCUUGAGCCUUACUCUGUCCAAACAGCUUUGGACCAGACUUUGCUGCUGUCGCCUGCUCUGUGGUCCCGUUAUCUAUGGCAGCCUGGUUGGAAUGGUGUUGCUCAGACCUCUUGGGCAAGUCACUGCAAGCCCUGGUUGCUGGGAGAUCCUGUCUGCUUAUUGCAACUCCAGCCAGUGCUAUGACUUGCAAGACGCAGCAUGCUGAGGGCCCUCACUAGCACCUUGUCUCUCUAACUUUGCUAUGGGCUUGUCAUGGGCAGGCUCACUGUCACCCCUUUCCCCCUUCAAACCUGGUUUAAAGCCCCCUCAAUGAACUCAGACAUCUCCUGGGCUAGAAUUCUUUUCCCCUUAGACUCGAGUGGACUCCAUCCAAGCCAGGCUCCAAGUAAACCACCCCGUAGUCAGAAAAGCCAAAAUUCCUGCAGUGGCAUCAGGCUGUCAGCCAUGUAUUUAUCAAACAGACUUUCCUGGUCCUCUCAGUAUCUCUCCCUGCAACUGAAGGGAUUGAGAACAUCAUCUGUACUCCCGCUCCAUCCACUGCCCUUUGGUAUUUGUAAUGUUUGUCACAGUUGUUGGUUCUUGGAAGAAUGCAGUGUGUGCUGCUAAAUGGGGAUGGAAAAUGCAACAGCCGCAUCCAUGUAUAUUGAAAUGCAUUGUGUAGCACUACAGAAGUAUUUUCAUAAAGCUGACAUUCAGAAAAACAUUCAGAAAUACAUAUACUAUAGCAAUACUAGACAACAUCUGUUAAUAUUUUAUGCUUUUUUAAACUCACAGCCCUUGGAGAAGGAGAGAUUUGACAGUGAAAUAUUCAACUGAUUUCAGCAGCAGUGGGUCAGAUCCACAAAUCAGGCCACUGAUGUAAUUUGUCCCUAGAGCUUUAGCUGUCUAUGGAUGCUGGUAAGGUACUGGUGCCUGUUGUUGCCUGCCUUUGGCAGCAAGAGCACUCCCCGUUUGUAAGGAAGUAAUCUAAUUUUAUUCAUCUUCUUACUUCAUCUUAGACUUUAUUGCCAUCUGUCUUCAUGAGGUAGAUAGAUUGUUUGAGUGUAGCCUUGUGUACUGUCGUUGUCUUUUGUUUCCCUUACAGAGAGCUUGUGUAGAUGCUCACUGCUGUUACUGAAGUGGACUGGAGUUUUAAACCUGUUGCCUGUCCUCUUCAUCUCGUCGUAACACAACCUGUUCUCUUGGCAUGACAAAGUAGAAGCUUCCUCUGCCCAGCCUAGUGACAUGUCACCUGGUCACCAACCUUUCAUCUCCUCUUAUAAUAUCCAUGCUGAGUAGUCCUUACAGAUUAACUCUGUGAUAGACAGUCUGUGUGAUGUCUGAUUGGCAUAGAUGGACAGAGGUUGCUCCAAAAGUAAUGCCUCCUAUUUAUUUCCAUGGAAACCAACAGAUACAAAGAGCACAAUAUUAUUGUUUGAUAGAGCACAUUCUCAGCUACAAAACACUGUUUUUCAACACAGAUACCACCAUUAACAAGCAUUUGCAAGCUGUAUUCAUAAAAAUCUGCCUGACCUAUAGGAACGUGGCUUGUCUUUCACGUUGCUGUCACCACUGCUGAAACACACCACGCACCACCUCAGUGUGUUCACAUCCUCUGUUCGGUCUCCAUUGAUGAAUGUCAAUGGGUGCCAUUUUUUCUGCAUGGAGGAAUUUAGUCCCACCCCUCUACUCCAUUCAUACUUCCAUGUCAGAUGCCAUUCUUUCCGAUUGCCCCCCUACUGCCAUCUGUCAUAAAGCAAAAAAAUAUAAUGAAAUAUUGACGGGAAGGUUCAACUUCUACUGCCAUCCCAGCACCAUCCACCUCUGAUGUUGUGGGCCAACAUCAUAAAAUAGGAGGCAUUACUUUCAGAGCAGCCCUCAUAACCGAGAAUGUUUGAAUUAAGUGUGCAGCUGUCUUGAUAGCCUGACAGUAACUUCAGCAAAGGGUGGCAGUGCCUAGGCAGAAUGUGUCUGAAAGCAGGAUUCCCAGUCUGGGAGGUGGAAUUACUUCUCUCUUCGUAUCUUGAUUAUUUAUUUUUGCUCUAUCAACUCUAAUGCUGGGCUUUUGUGUUCACAUCAGCACUUGGUGGAACCAUAUUGGUGGCCCUUUUGAUGGAGGUGAGAGUUUGUCAUUGGUGUAAGGAGAUUUCAUUGUUGUAUCAGUUCUGUAGUUCUUUGACACUCCUAUGUAAAUAUGGUAAAUCCAAACCAAUCCAUGUAUUUGCGUCUCUCCGAGGAUCUGCUUUGAAAUCUGCAUUUCAACAGCCUUUGUAACCGUACCUCAACACAAUGCAGAUAAGAAAGUGCUUUCUGCUAUCCCUGUUAAAAUGCAAGACAGCUUUUCCAGCUGGACAUAACUGCGUACCUUCACUGGUCUCCCCACAAUUGGGAUUUUUCUUCCUUUCCAAGAGUGAGCAGUGCCAUCAUGCCACCAAGCAUGGCAGCAGCUGACACAGGGAUUAAACUGCUGCUUCCUUGCUCUCUGCCUGAAGAUAAUUCUUGAAGGAAGUACAGUAGGAUUUAGGAAAAAUUUCUUCUCCAAGAGAGUGGUCAGACACUGGAAUGGGCUGCCCAGGGAGGUGGUGGAGUCACCAUCCCUGGAGGUGUUCAAGAAACAUGUAGAUGUUGUACUGAGGGCCAUGGUUUGGUGGGGAAGUACUGGUGGUAGGUGGACGGUUGGACUGGAUGGUCGUGGAGGUCUCUUCCAGCCUUGGUGGUUGUAUGAUUUUCAGCACAUGUACAUAUUUAAGGCAUUUUUUAAAGUGUGUUUCUAAACUUCAUAUUUAGAAACCUGCUUAUUCAAGCUUAUGCUUUGCUAAGUUCUAGGAAAUGAAAUUAACUUGAAGAGCAACUUACUGUAAUUUACUGUGAACAAGUUGUAUCUGUAACAGAAGCUUGCUGGCACAUGCUGCUUUAGGUUGGACAAGGGAUAUGAGUGUGUGUAUCUUUCUGCUAUGUGGUAAGACUCCACGUGAGGAUGGAGGUCCUGGGGCCUCAGAGGAAGACUGAUGUCUUGCCUGAGGAGGAAAUUCAAGGUGUGCGGUCAUGGUUGAUGUAAAAGCCAUUCUGCUCACCCUGCCCUUUGGGCAGUCUGCCCUUCCCAUCCUGCAUAGGUCAAUCCUUUAGGUCCAUCUCAUACGCUGUGGACCUUGCGUUAAAGGGGAGAAUGCACUGCUGGAGGUGUGCCAGUUUCUGAUUCCAAAUGUUGGUGCAUCUUCUCAGCUUCUUUCAUGCUUUCUCUGGCGAUUGCUUCCGUGAAUACAAAAUCUGACAAAUAAUUGCAUUUUGAAGGGCAUGCUUAAUGGAGGUCCAUAAAAAUGAUUUACAGACAACUGCAAACUGAACUAUUACACUAAAGGAUAAAAAGCUUCCUUAAUGAGCUGUACAAGACAGUUAUUGAUGUAUUUAUGAAAACAUUCCCCAGUACAUGCAACCAGGGGAAUUCAAAGAUAAAUAUUUAAAGAUUGUCUGACAGUUUUUGAAUGUAGCAAAACUCGAGUUCCUCUGGUUCCUCUGUAGGGCAGUAAAUGUCUUGAAACAAAAGUAUGUGUGAUUUGUAACAGAAGAGAACAAAACCUGUCUUAAAACUAGAUGUCUUUCUAUGUGACAAUGCUUUGUUCAACCUAAGAGAUAAAGCAAGGAGAAAAUAGGCAUGGGAAGCUUAAGAUAUUAAUAAGGUAAGCCAACAUUUUUUUUUUCUAUCUAGGUAAUUUAUUAGAAUGGUGUCAAAGAAAUGUACUUAAGAUGAUGAAAUGUAACAACAGUUUCGCGUUUGAUUGAGUUUCCUUUCAUCCCAUCAUUGCUGUACACAGUCAGGUUAUUCAAGUGUGAUCUUUAAGUGUUCACAUUGUGAUUUAUAAUCUUGAUCUUCGCACCCCAGGGAGAGAAAAAUUGGUCUGUUGUUAUGAAUCUGAUUAAUAUAUAGAACAAUGUGUGCCCUUUUGGUAUUUAUUACACACAUGUGCUUUUAGUUUGGAUUAUCUCAUUGUUACUUGCACUUUGCAGGCAUACUGCAUUACUCUCUGAGUAACAAACUGUAGGAGCAUUCUAAGUAUUGGGGCUGACACUUGGUGUGGCAUCACCUUGUCAUUGGUGCACUUUAUAUCCUUGACUGGCUUAAUAAUUGAUAAUUUUUAAAUAAUAUGGUUUUCUUUAGGACCACAGCUGCUGUGUCACGUAACUCCUCCUGCCAUACAGAACGAAGACCUGGCUCAUGCUAUUAAAUAAGCUCUAGAGUCUUUUUUAGACUUCUUCCACCACAUUGUUUCUUGGGCUACAGACUGAGACUGGGCUAUGGAGCCUCUUCCUUUGAAGGUUGGUAGAAGGAGUGAAUGAGGGACAGGGGCUGUGCUAGCCAGCCUGUGAAAGGUGCUGGCAGCCGCCCUGAGUGUUGCUCAUGGGUAGAAGAGCUGCAUUAGCAGCCAGUGCUGAAGGUUAAUAGAAGAGUUUUAGUCUUGGGGGAUCUCUUCUUCAGCACCAAGAAGGGUUGUGAUGAAGCUGAAUUUCCCCCUGGGUGACGAUGCUGGUCCCAUUUUCACUUACAAGAACAUGGAAUAUAUUCAUCAACAUUCAUUAACUUCAUGGAUCUCAAGGAAGCACACAUAACCUCCACUAAGACUUCUGAGUUGUAAGUGUAGUAUGGGGUAGUAUUUAAGCUUUUCUAGCUUUCUGCUGGGAUAUAAGGGUUUGGGUUUCUUUCUUUGUUUUCCUUGAUGUCAUUUGAUUGCUUCAAAUUUUACUUUUUUGGCUUAUUUUUCCUGUUUCAUUUCCCCUGUAAGGACGCAGCAGUUCACAUGCACCAAAGUCUCUGUAAUAGUGUCCUUACAAUGAAAGGGGAUUUGUGUACUAAGGAUUGUAUCAGUGAAAAACUAGUGUUGGAUUUUUGCUAUGUGGGAAUGUAAGGCAAGGAGAGCAGAAAAGGAAUAGCCAAUACUUUGAUAGUUAAGGAAGCACAAGGGUACACAUACAAGUCCUGAGCCUUGGAAAGGUUCUCAGUCCAGCUCUGUAUAUCUGACUCAGUAUGGAACAGCCUGUGUUAAUUUAACUUAAAUCUCUCCUGCACCAAAUUGUAGGUGGGAAGUCUGUUGAUCAAAGCCAGACUUUUAAAGCAGGUUUCCUGUAGUAGUGUGUAAAAUCAGUCUUUGUACAAGAGUAGUUCUGUCACCUGCCUUGCAAGCAAAUUACAUUAUGCAAUUUAGAGCCCAAGUAUGGCUUAACUUCAGUGGAUAAAUCUCAUGCCUGUUGUGAAAGCAUUCAUGUCCUUGGGGCCUGUAUUUGAUUUCUCAAUAUGUAGGAACAAUAGAAAUUUGAAGAUUUUGAUUGAAAUGCAACCCAUGGAUUAUGCACGUAACCAUUUGCAGCCUUUACUUAUGCACCUGUUGUGAAGACGCAUCCACACUAAGGAACUGCAGCUCAGCCUCUUUGCUUGGCUGCAGUGCCUUUUGGUGUAAGCUAGUGGAGAUGUUUUGCCUCUAUCAGAAGAACUGAAGCACUGUUCUUCCAGGGAGGCCGGCAGCAACAAAGAAAGAAGGAUGCCCUGAAUGGCUGUUGGAGGCUGUCAGACUGUUAUAUCUCUUGUAUUUACUGCUUUACUUGUUGCCUUUGGAAGAUUAUUGCUGUCAGUGCUUGAAGGACCCUGCUCCACAGUCACCUAGAUGAUCUCACCUUCUAUUCUGUAUUGUUUUCAGAAAAUACAAUGGUUAGCAUGUUAAUGGUUAACAUACAGUUUUAGCAGCUUCAGUUGCAUUAUAACUCAAAAAUUCUGUCAAGAAGAACUUAGAUUGAGCUUCAGAUUCUGACAGUGUCCUGAAGACAAUCUUACUGGCUUCUCCCAGGUGACUUGCGUUUCCAUUCUGCAGGCUGGAGCAAUGUGAUGCUGAGGUGAUCCAGAAUUUCUGACUCUGUGCAGAUCAGCCCUGUCCCUGAGCAACCACCAGGCAGGUACGAUUUAGAUGAGGGUACAAAAGCAUGGAGACCCCUCAGAUUUAUGGGUGCCUCAGUCACCUAGAGCAGAUUGUCUGUGAGAUGAGAGUGCACAGAGACCACAGUUGGAUAUUGUACACCUCUGGAGUAGUUACCUUGGCAACUAUCAUACUGUGUGCGGUUUGGUUGCGAGGAACUGGCACAGCAGAGAAGUGUGACAUGUGAGACAUAAUCCUCCGUGCAUUUCCGAAGAUGGCAAGCAGGUGAUGGCGUGAGCAUUUCUGCUGUUGGCAGCGUAACGGCCACGAGCUCAUUGCUGUAGCAGCCCUACUCUCACAAUUUAAAUUCCUCAUGUUAACAAAAAUGAAGAGCUGUGCAGUGGUACAUGUUAUCAGCACUUUUUCUGGAGGAGUUCCUUGAGAAUGAAGGUGAAUAAAACCAUCCUGCUUACCUCACCACCUCCCACUCGUUUUGCCUAAAACGCCUCAUUGAAAUUUCUUAGCAGAGCAGGGCUGUGCAGCUCCUGGAGGAUCCUCUUAGAUCUUGGUUGGUGGGAGGUGGAUUUGCCUGGGCUGCUGACUUCUUUUUCUUCAGAGACCUCGGUAAGCUGUGUGAGUUCCCAGGGCACCCAUCCCAUCCCCCUCCCAGCCCAGGGGAGCCCACAUGGCUCAGAAUAAUGAAGGCCCUUACUGAGGGUGUCAGGGUUCACGAUUCCUCUCCUCUAGUUCUUGUGAUGAUUCUAUAAGGCGCCAGUAGGGCUUGUUAACAGAGCUGAUCAAUGAAACUUGUGUGCAAGGAUCGCUAAGAUCAAUUCUGCAAUGAAUCAAAGAGUCCUUCCAGUAUUGACUUUCUUUUUAAACAGCAAAAACUGGAAGAAAAAAAAAUAUAAGAGUAUUCACCACUAUUGGUGUGUGUGGCUGAGCCGUCCCUGAAGGGCAGCAGUCUGCAUGCAGCUGUGCCAGGGGUUCCAGGUGGCACAGACCUCAGAGACCCCCGAGUGAGGAAGCAGAGAUGGGGUUGCUCAUGGUGCUGUAUUUUGGCCCAUGCUCAGUGCGUCACUGUUGUUUGAAUCUUAAAAAGAUUGCCCCCUCCUCGUUCCAUUUUAGUUUCCUGGUCGUAGCUUUUGUCUUUCCAUAGCAAAUGUGGUUCCUCAAGCAUUGCAGAGUACGGGCGCUUUUACUUGACUUUGAAAUAUUUUAAGCCUGAUUCUCUUUCACUUAGCUUUCACUUCUAGAAAUGAAAAAUAUCAGAAUAGAUGGAGUUGCUCAUUUUCUGUGUAAUUCAGUGAGAACUCUGUCAGGUCAAGUCUAGCACAGACAAGAGGCCCCUCACCGCUGGGUAGGAAGAGACAGCUUGGUAGUCUGCAUUCCAAGUCAAGGUGCAUUUCCAGGAGAGGUGGGAAGGGGGGUGGCAAAGCAAGUUUCACAGAACUCUCUUAGUUCUCCUUGGUGGAGUAAUCCCUGUUAAAAAGCUGACUGAUCAGUGACCAUAAGGAGAUAUACCACUGUCUUGUACAGGCUUACUGUACUUGGAAGUGCAAUCAGUGUUUUAAUGACUGUUCCCUGCUGCAGUAUAUUUAACUGCAUCGAUUGAUACCUUAAAACUGUGGCUGUUCAUUAGGCUUUAAAAAUUUUCCUUCUUUAUGUGUUGUAUGUGGGAGUGUAAGCCAUCAGCUUAUGUAAAAUGUAAAGCUUUCUUUUGGGAUACCCACUCAUUUAAAAAUAUAUAUAUAUGAAAAAAAGAUCAGGUGGGUUCAUUCAUCAAGGUGUGAAUGCUUAAGACCAUUUUACUAACGUGAAACCAAAAUCUGGUGAUUUUAGGGGAAUCACAGAAUCACCAAGGUUGGAAAAGACCUCCAAGAUCUUCCAGUCCAACCAUCCACCUGCCACCAAUAUUCCCCACUGAGCCAUAUCCCUCAGUACAACACCUAAACAUUUCUUGAACACCUGCAGGGUCGGUGACUCCACCACGUCCCUGCGCAGCCCAUUCCAAUGCCUGACUACUCUCCUGGAGAAGUGUUUCCUAAUGUCCAACCUGCAUUGGAGUUAACAUUCUGUUGUGUUUUAGUGAGUAGAGCACAGUGUAGGGUGGGUUUCUUGUACAAGUGCAUCUAUUCAUUCAGCAGCAAUACAAACCCAUGUCAGUAUGGUUUUCAGCACACCCAUGGGUGUGGAUGGGGUUGCUGGUGCUCUCAGGUCUGCUGCUUCCCGCUGUAACGAGCAGCCUGAAAGCUGCAGCUUGCUGUGUGUGUUCACACAGCCUGUCAGUCUGCUGCUGCCAUUUGAUUUAGGAUGAUGAAAGCAGGAGCAAAAUACAGCUAAAAGUGAAGUGAGUUGUGUUGGAUGGAUUUGUAACUCCUGGUGACCUGAGGAAGGAGAGACAAUGCCGCCGGAUGUCACCUGGCGGUGGGCAGACACCUCAGCCCUGGCUGUAAGUACGGGAGAGUUUUGCAGCUGCAGUCUUCCUUUUCAGCUUUGUUCUCACAGCUCUGGGCCUUCUGGUCGGAUCCAUGCAGGGCUGCCGUGCCGUGUUUCAGUCUGUGCCCUCCCACAGGCUGGGAGCUCUGUACAAUUUGCCCUUUUGAAACAUGAUCCUUUGUUCCUACUGAACUCGGGGCCGCUAUCCCAGAAACCUUGUUCCAUUUUCCAGCUGUCUGAAAUUGGGCUUUCUGCUGCAGAGGAUUUUCUUGCCAUAUCAGAGAUUCCCUCUCCCUCCAGGCUUUUUAUUGCUAAAACAGUAGGCUAUGAAUGCUGCAUCAUGGUGCAUACAGGUGUGUGUAUCAGUGUUUGUGCUAGCACACUGCAGGCGUUAUCUUAUGCUGUGCAUUUGUGAAAGUGCUGUGAAUGUUCUGUGGGUUAUAACACUCAAUUGCAUGGUGCAUCUUCCCAAAUUCCCACAAAGAACAGCAGAACUGACAGCAAGAGAUGCACUAACAAAAUCACACGGAGCUCUUGCCAAGCAGAGGGCAAUUUUGUUCCUAGGCACUAAAGGACGACGAUGACCAACAACAUGCUUGCUGCUAUAUUAAUAGGUUUUAUUUCACCAUAAAUCUUACCGCACACCCUGCAGCUUGUUGUGCCUUGGCCACACUAAACCGUCCUGCAGGACGUUGCUCACAUCUUGUUCACGUGCUGUCCUUUCUGAUCAACCUGCCAGGCGAUGGAGCAGGAUAGGGACGUCAGGGCAGAACUGACCAGGAGGUACGGACUGCUUCAGCCAGGAGGAACAACACUGACUCCUGUGUUUUAUCUGGCUGCUGGCUGUGGGAAUCCUGCCAACCAGCUGGUGAAAACGGUAUAAAAUCUGACUUUGUGUAAUAUUACACUUGUUUCUGUGAUCCUUGCUUUUAGCAAAUAGUUCAUUCCUAACCGCUGUUGGGAAGCAGGCAGACUGACAGUGCUGUGAGUGCACGUGGGCUCUGCUCUGCAGACACAGCCCGUGUUUCCAGGGUUGUACUCCAUCUCCCUUCCAUGCUUUGGUACUCAGAAAGGAUUAACUUUGCCCUCAGUGCCUUUACACAAACAGCACUAAAAUAUUUGAAGGAAUGUGAUUUUCUCUGGGGCUGGAUGGAAUUAAAGCAUUGUACUUGUCGUGAUUUAAGGUUGUUUCUGAUGAUGGAGGCUGGCUGAGGUUUCUCACUUCUGCUGUCCUCUCUUGCAUGCCUUGUUUCCUACAGUCUGUGUAACAAGCUUUCCCAGGGGAAAUCUCCCAGCAACAGCAUGCGCUGAUGAUGCUGUGAUGCCUGGCUGUCGGAGUUGUUGCACACAAAUAGGACUGACAAGUGAAACAGAAAAUGUGAGACUAUCUGAUGUUCCAGGGAGGAUGGCUGAAGCACGGCCACUGCAGGAACGCGGCUCAGUUAAACUUGCUUCUCCCAAAGCAAAGAUCAUUAGGUUAAAAAACAGCUGGUCUUUUGACAGGCCUGCUUUCCAAAUGAGACAGCACCAACACCAGCUUUCAGUUUUAAGAAGCUGCCAUUAUUUAUCCCUUUAAAUCACUGAUUUUAUUAGUUCUGCUGGCAGCUUUCUUAGCUGAAUCCGCAUUUUGUGUAAUUUGUUGUAGUUCACUUGUGCGGGCAGGUUACUAUUUUCUUUGUGCUUGUAACUGUGAUGACAGUGUUCAGACUUUCCAACCCUAGCACUGUACCCACGGUAGGCAGUGUCACCUGUUGAGGUUGCCCAAGAGCUCCCACUAUAAAUCCUAAUUUCUAAUACAUCCAUGUAUCUCUACAGCAGUCCCUGUGCAGACUUGUUGCUGGCUCACGCCUGCCAGUACUUCACAGAGAUGCAGGUGAGUGUCUCAAUUAAGCAGGUGAGCUGGAAGGUGCUUUCCCCAUCAUCGCUUGCAGACUGUCUCCCUGUCAUCUCCAUCUGUCUGACAUACCUGAUUGUUUUUGCUGGGCCGCAGUGUGCAGAAAUGACUGUGGCAAUAAUUAUUCUGCUCUCCUUAAACCUUUCAGAUGCCAUUGGUGGACUUUUCACUGCUGGACAGAAGGCAUUUGAGUGAUUACUUGUUGUGAAGUACCUUCUGCAGAGACUGCCUGCAGUUUUGGAAGGCAGCUGGAUAGCAUCAUGCAUUAGUAAUCUAAUGACCUUUACCCCUCGGCACCAUUUCCUCACAUCUUGAACAGCUUGGCAAUACUAGGAAAGCAUCCCAUGGUUCAGUACAGUUGUGUAAUAGAAGUUCUUCUCAUUACAUUUCACUCAUUGACUGAUUUUAUCUCAAGAGUAAGCACAGCAGCUAGAAAUCACAGGAAGCCUCGGAAGAGAGUUGGAUUAAUACCUGAAGGCAGUUUCCUCUGGAAGUGAGCUUUCCUUCGAGGCAUGGAGCAGCACUGCUGCUGUGGCUGCUGCACUGGGGCUGCAGGAAGUACCUCUGUGCAGACAAAACUCAUUCUGGGAACAUGCAAAGAACACAGAGUUUGGACCCAAUUACUCACUCUGCCAUCUUUUUUUAUCCUCAAGGAUGGGGGGGAAUCCUUUAUCAGUGCAUAGUAAUCGUCUUGAUGUCCAAUGAAAAGAGCAAUGACAAACAUUUCCUUGCCAGACAAUGAGUAUUGCAGGCAGACAGCUGGGUUACUUUCCACCUUUGCACGAGCACAUCUGCUCAACGAGCACGGCAUACAUUCAGAGAUACCCGAGCACGCAGGGCUGACAUUUGCUUUUCAGAAGCGCCCCCCUGACAGGCACUUGAAUGCUCAGACACCCGUGUGAAAGGUACACAGGACAUCAGUGGGACGAGCUGCGUAACUCACACCACUGACACGUCUCUUUUCACUUGCAGUAUUUAUAGCUGGCAGUGAUUUCCCAUUGCGCACUUUUGCUUUAGGAAGGACUUCUAAAAUAUCAAGAGUUUGUUCCAUACAGACCUUUUCCUUUGGGUACAUGAAGGAGGCUGAUGUCAACGGCAGCUCUCGGACGUGGCCCUGAAUGCACAGCAGUACGAGCCAUUCUGCUUGUGCAUGUGGUCAGCUUUUGCUUCAGUCUUCUUGUGCUUCUGCUUGUGCUUCAGUCAGCAUGACUUUCAGAGCUCUUCAUUUUAUUUUAUGGCUAAUUUCACGAAUUCAUUAGGGGCAUUGUAGUGGCAGUGCUCAAUCACAGCCUGAAACAGUGAUGGAGCACCUGGUGGGAAGGCAGGGCCAACCCAGGGGAGUUCAGGUGCACGUAGUGCUGCUGAGUGACUAGAAGGGAUGGAGUCAGGAUCCACCCCUUCCCAGCCCUCAUUUAAGGGUUGGCAGUGGAGCUGAGGGUAUCUUUUGCUGGAGAUUCCUGCUUACCUGCGGCCUUCUAAGAGUAAGCAGUUCUUUUCCUUAAUUUUUGCAUCUGUGGCUGUUGCAUUUGGGCUCAUUCUCAUUUGGAGUAGCUAAAGACUUUGACGCCCUGCUAUUAUCCUAUUAUAGCGUUGCAGGCAUUAAUAAUAGUUAAGGAGAUUUAAAUCCAUUAUGACUGUAACACUGGGCAGGCUGCAGGGGUGUGCAGAUGUCAUCUCCAUGUUCUUCUGGAGGAAUUUUGGAUGCUCAGUAGCAGUGAUGCCAGUGUUGGGGCAUGCACCCAGAGCACCCCUGUCUGGAGGAAAUGUAGUUCCCCACAUCUUGCAACGCACAGAGCUGUGAGAACACCAGAAUGCCUGAGCACUCAUCUGCUGCCCAGCUCUUGGCUGCUGCUAGAUGCAGCUCGUGACUUUGAAACCAGUUGUUUGCAAAAGAGCUCUGUGCCAUGCCCUGCAGGGCGAGCAGGGCCUCGUGCUGCAGCUGCUGACUAAUGCAUGACACCUCUGCUGUGAGGCAGUUGUGUUCACUCACCGAGGUCAGGGUGACUCAAAGCAGCACAUGUUCCAUGUCGAUGCCCAGAGGCAGCUGCUGUUUUACAUCAUGACAAUGUCAAUUAUCACCUACAACACUCCUGUAAGGAGUAAAAUGGCAUUGACAAAAGAUGCAAUUAUUUGGCUGUUUGCUUUCUCAGUCCUCUGCUAAUGUCAGUGUCUGGUUGUCUCUCUGAUGAUGCCUUUAAACCACAUGUGUGACAGCUACACUGCGUUGAAAAACACAGCUUUCCCCACCUGUGUGUGCAUGAGGAGAUGUGCUGUUGCAGAGAUGCCCUGAUCUUUCUGAGCACCACUGUAACGCUGCUGGAGAAGCUCAAGGGGGGAUUGUGUCCUUUCCAGUGGAGGCUGGAGGUGCAAUAUUGAUCUCAGCCCCCAUCUCUUGGAUAGCUGGAGUGUCAAGCACUGGGUAGAAUUGCUGUAAGUGCGCUGGCUCUUGCUGUGCUCCUGGCCGUUCCUCUGCUUCAUGUCUAUGUGCUUGGGCCUUUGGAGCUGGCUGCUGCACCAGCCCAGCUCUCGGAGGUGUCCCCCAGCAGCUGCUGCCUGGGGUUGCUUGGGCUGCUCGCAGGAGCUGAGGGCACAGCCCAGCCCGCUGUGCUGGCAGAGGCUGAUAGCCUGCCCAGAGCAAGUUUUUCUCCUCCACCACAGUCAUCUGACCUGUCCUUAGAACGGCAUCUGCUUUUGGGGGGCAAGACCAACAAAAAACAACAGCAACAAAAAGCUUUUGUGAUUCAUCUCUUAUUUAGAGCAUGUGCUAAUGAUGAAUUUGGGUGCAUCCCAUCUUGUCUCUAGGAACAGCUGGAAUAACUUCUGUGUUUUUGCAUUGGAAACAACAAUGUUGCCGAAUCAUAGCUGUUCUUUGUGAAUCUCUCCAUUUCUUUAAGUUGUCAAUUUAUGGAAAAGUGGAAGAAUCUGGUAGUGAAACUGAAACUUCUUGUUUGAUCAUUUUGGUACCAGCAGAUGUGGGGAAUUCAUUCCAGGACAAGUUUAUUGCCUACGUUCACGUUCUGACAUUGCCAAAAUGAGCAGAAAUAAAAGCCUUCCCCACCCCCCUCAAGUUUUUAAAUAUAAUGGGAAAUGUUUUUAUUCUUUGGAGUUGUGGCAGAGUCUGCACAAUUUAACCUUGCAGACUUAUCCUGUUCAACCACAGGUCGUGUGCUGCUGUCCCAGCAGCUGGGGCUGGAUCCAUGCAGUCAGUCUGCACACGACGUGGAGGUUUGCUGAUGCUGCACAGUUGGGUGCAGGCAGUCAUCUGCAGAGCCCUCACGCCUUUGUAUCAUCCAGCCUGAUACUCAUAGCGCUGUUUUACUAAGCCCAAAGCCUUUACUGGUUACACAUGCUCUGCGUCAUUCCUUCCAUUGGCACGUGCUCCGUUCGGCAUUCUCUCAUUCACGUACGACACAGGGAAGGGAUUGUAUACUCCACUGUGAUACCACUUACAUCUCCUCCUUUGUUUCUAGGCAUGUAAUUACAUAUGGAUUUGGACCUUAACAAACCAUGGGUUGCUUUAGGUUACACUUGCUCCUGCCUCAGCCUAACUACGUGUUUUCAUUUAGAUUUUGGCAAGACCUUUGUCUGGCCAGCUGGCUUUUGUGCUCGAGACCAUCCUGUCUUUUGUCUUGAGUUACCCUUCCUUCUUCCCAACUGCAGCCCUGACUGCACUUGCAGUAACAGGGAUGAAUUUAUCAAAUGUUUGUGUAUUCACACAAUUAAAACGCAGAUAUUGAUUUGUUACUUUGAUCUCUUGGCUUCCCUUACCAGAAUGUAGGCAUGUAGACACAAAUACAGGGUGUGGAGGAUCUGUUGCAAAGGGCAAUUUUGAUCUGGCCGUAGCAGCGUGAGCCAUCUGUUGAUUGGCCUUUGUCAGCCAAAUUGUGCUACUAGUUGGCAUAGUGAAUAUGUAUGCAGCACUCUGCAGGACAAAACUCAUAAAUUCAGAUUGCCUUGCAUGAACUUAUAUAUGCAGUUCAGCUCCACAAAGAGAAAGAAAAAGAAAAAAACUGCAUACAUUGCUUAUGCAACAAAAUGUUGCUUAUUUAUAGUGGCAUUUACAAGGUGCAGGGAAAGCUGAUAUCCUCCUCAAUGAUGAGGGCUGAAAACCUCAUUAAAAUGUGUUAUAACAUCAAGUGAUGCAUUUCUGCCCCUACUGCUCCAUUUUAACACAGGUAAUUGGCUGCAGAAGCAAUCACUGUUCUUGUAAUACAGAACAGCAAAAUGCUGUGUAAACCUUGGUAAGAGGAGU
ensembl:lncRNA